CAAUAGCGUAUAUUUAAGUUGCUGCAGUUAAAAAGCUCGUAGUUGGAUUUCGGGUGGGAAUGGCCGGUCCGCCGUUUCGGUGUGCACUUGCUACGCCCACCUUGCUGCCGGGGACGUGCUCUUGAGUUCACGCUCGGGACACGGAGUCGGCGAGGUUACUUUGAGUAAAUUAGAGUGUUCAAAGCAGGCCUACGCUCUGAAUACAUUAGCAUGGAAUAACACGAUAGGACUCUGGCCUAUCUUGUUGGUCUUUAGGACCGGAGUAAUGAUUAAGAGGGACAGUCGGGGGCAUUCGUAUUUCAUUGUCAGAGGUGAAAUUCUUGGAUUUAUGAAAGACGAACUACUGCGAAAGCAUUUGCCAAGGAUGUUUUCAUUAA
rnacentral:rRNA from 1 species